GUUUGGUCCUGACCUUAAAAUCAACCCUUACUUAACUUACACAUGCAAGUCUCAGCACCCCUGUGAGAACGCCUUCGACUCCUCAAAGGAGCAAGGAGCUGGUAUCAGGCACAUAUUCAGCCCAAGACACCUAGCUAUGCCACACCCCCAAGGGAAUUCAGCAGUGAUUAACAUUAAACAUAAGCGACAGCUUGAUUCAGUUAAAGAAAAGAGAGCCGGCAAAUCUGGUGCCAGCCGCCGCGGUUACACCAUGUAGCUCAAGUUGAUUUUACUCGGCGUAAAGCGUGAUUUAAGAGACCCAGACCCUGGUGUUAAAUAAUAACUAAGCUGUGACACGCUUGUCCCUAAGAAACCAAAAACGAAAGUUACACCAAUCUCACCAACUUGAACCCACGACAGCUUGGAAACAAACUGGGAUUAGAUACCCCACUAUGCCUAGCCGUAAACCUUAACUUACACCCCCCCAAUCGCCAGGGAACUACGAGCAAAGCUUAAAACCCAAAGGACUUGACGGUACCCCAAAUCCACCUAGAGGAGCCUGUCCUAUAAUCGAUAACCCCCGCUUAACCUCACCUCUUAUUGCCCAUCAGCCUGUAUACCUCCGUCGUCAGCUUACCACGUGAGUGCCACUAAGUGAGCCUAGUGUUUAUACAUCAAUACGUCAGGUCAAGGUGCAGCUAAUGAAGAGGGAAGAAAUGGGCUACACUCUCUACCCUAGAAGAAACAAAAGGCUAUUUAUGAAACCUAGUCAGAAGGAGGAUUUAGAAGUAAAAAGAAAACAGGGUUUUCUUUUUAACCCGGCA
rnacentral:ncRNA from 1 species